rnacentral:lncRNA from 1 species
GAAGUGAAGUACUAAAUUACCAAACUUAAUAAAUUAAACAUAAAAUUUAUUCAUCCUUUCAAAUUGUAAAGGUAUUAUUAGUUAAAAGUUUCAAUAAUAAACUAAACUUAAUUCAGUAAAAAUGUAUUUGGGUGUAGUUGUUUCUUUGUCAGCGCUCUAUCUCUCUUUAAAGAACUAGAUAUUGAUGAUUAUUCUAUCAAAACCUCCUUAAAAUACUCAAAUUUUAUUUUCUAACUUGUCCUCUUAGUUAAUAUAACUAAUAAAUAAAAUCUGAAAAUUCACAUAAAAAAUUAUAAAAAUAUUGAUAAUUGUUACUACAUGUUGUUUCUGUAAGUACUUUUACUACUAGUGACGAUGUUAUAUUACAUUGACAUUUUUUUUUCAAUUAGAAGUUUUUUAAAAUAAAUUAAAGCAGUAAUUAAAUUUUAGCUCCCUAAUGUUUUCAAUCUAUUCAAUAAAUAUAUGAUUUAAUCAUUUUAUAGAAUAAGUCACUAAUUUCAAUUGAAAAUAAUAUAAGUGAAUAAGGGACAUAUUUGUAAACAAAAUAAAAACUCUAUUGUUAUAUAAAAUUGAUGAAAACAUAAGGGUAAUUGGGUUAGGGACAUAUUUGAAUAUUAAAUAAAAACUCUAUUAUUAUACUAAAUUGAUGAAAAUAUAAGGAUAAUUGAGUUAGGGACAUAUAUGAAAAUAAAAUUAAAACUCUAUUAAUUUACAAAUUGAUGAAACAUUAAGGGGUAUAAACAAUUUUGCCUGGACUAGACCGGGCUGUAGCCCGGUCUAGUCCACGCGUAGGUCCGCCACUGGUUUUGAGUCCUAUGACUUUGGGUUGUUGGAUGGUAGAAAAAUGUGCGCGUGACCAGCCAAUGGCUAUGCAUGAACCUGUUGGACAGUAGGGCCGGUUCUGUAUAUAUUCUCUAUUUUUCUUGCUUGGUGGCGUCUUUGAUGACAUAUUGCGUGGUUUUCAAUCAAACGGUUUAGAUUGCUUUAAAUAUAUUAAUGGGAGAUUUGCAUUGAGAGUAUGUAAUUCAUACAAAACAUAUAAUACAAACAUAUAUAAAGCCAAGAGUUGUGCACAAAGUCUAGUUAAAUAAGUACUGUCUUAAUUAUAUGACCACUGUAGCCCCAAGUCUACUCGAUUCUUAAGCAUAUUAUUAUCUUAAUUAAUUGGAUCACGGGUUAGGUCUUUAACUAAUGAGAUUUAUGCUUAUACAUGGGAAAUAUUUCAGAAUUGUUUGACAUCUUUUUGGCUUUUGUGCCAAGUAUAUGACACUGAUUAGAAUUGAGGUUGGACAGCUGAUAUCUUAAAAGUUAUAGUACUAAAGUAUUUGGUAAAUAUUAGCUGCUAUAAUUUAGAAAUUAUGUUGAUAUGAUUUUUUAUUUGUAUGAUAAAAAAAUAUAUCGUAUCUUUAAUAAUUUUAUCAAAAUAUUAUUUAAAAAUUAUUUUACUACAUACUAUUAAUUUUUGUUUCAUAAUUAAAAUUAUUUUUCUAUAGCAGUCAUAGCUUUCCCAAACAAGACCUAUGUCCAUUUGAUGUAUCGGAUAAAUUACAAGUCAAGGUCAGGGUCAUAUUACUCACACUAUCAUCUGAAUUUUAACAUUCACCUUUAUGGUGUGUUUACUUUAAGGAAUGUGAAUGGGGUGGAAUGAGAAUAAACUGUGAAUGUGAAUGGACUGGAAUGAAAAUGAAGAAUAAAAAUGAGAUUUCAAUGUUUACUUCGCAUAAAUAAAUGGGAAUGAGAAUGUGCUGGAAUGUCAUUGAUGUAUUUGCUUGGCAAAAUAAAUAGGAAUGAAGAAAUGGAAUGAGAAUCAAUUUACCAAAAUACCCAUAGUAUUAAUAAU